UUAACCAUUUAGUUAAAAUUGUAAAUACUGGAUUCACCUUCCGCAGUGUACUCUGACCACAGGGGCGGACGAUGGUGACCAGGUGGGGCCGCUCUGCACUCUCCUCUGCAUGACGGGUGUGGAAAAGAGGAAGAUGCAGAACAACGGAUAGAAACACAAGACCCUAUACCUCUAACAUGGGCAAGGGCCCCCUUUUUAACAAGACACCACUGGCCCCCUGAGACGGUCAUAUCCUCGGCUGUUAGCUUCCAGGAGAGGUAACGGGAUGCGCUACGAGCUGACCGGACCUGGUGUAGCUACAGUGGUUGCCAUGGACACACGUCAAGUUGAAAGGCUGGUGAAAGAGAAAUACCGGAAGCUAAGUGAUUUCACCAUCAAAAUAAAAAUAUUUUGACUAACUUUAUAUUGAGGUAUGGGUGUCAUAUCUACUGACCAACACACUUUCUGAAUACACACGUGGUUAACAUCUACUCCAGAUUUUUAUGAACACACCUAUAUUCAUUUACCGACGUACUUUAAGCUAGUAGAUAGCGAGCUUUGCUCAGCAAUGAGGUUUUAUUUUGAAAGAGCUGCCCGGAAGAGUAACAUUUUAUUUUGUGAGUAUUUGACACGUUCUGUGUGUGAGAGUUUCUGGUGAAAGUUUCCAUAGAAGUGAAACGAGGUAAACGACACCUCUGCAUUACGGUUGCUGCUCUUACAGAAUAAACACCUGUUAUAGGUAGGCCUGCCACCAGAUACUGUUUGAGUAUCUUGAAUUUUAAGCAUUAAACUUAUCUUAAGAUUGUCUGAAGGCAGAGGCCAAGGUCCAAUUAGUAAGAGAGCACUGUCAACUUAUGUCCACUCUCGUUUAGCAAAAACUGACAUAUGCAAAUACAUGUUACCUGUUGCACUAUGAGACUACACACAAAUACACCAUGAACAACAGUGGCCUGUUCAGUUAGGGUUUAAUGAAAGUUCUGGUGUUGGGUUUUUUUUUUUUUUCAACAGCAAGCUUCUGUCAGUUUGUUGAUGCAUAUCAUUUAUUAUUAUAAGAUGGUUGGUCAUAUUUGCUCUGAUUUACAUGAGUUUUGUACAUUGCCUAAAGUAGAUUUAUGAAAUAUUGUGCAAAGGUUUUGAUGCUAUAAAAGGGAAAACUUUCAUCAGCCAAAUAUUUUUGUUGCAGGGCUGGAUUUGGCCUACGGCCCACUAUUUGCCAACCAGUGGUCUACAGGCUGUUUUAAAGCCCUCUGAGGAGUACCAGACAUGCAUUGCCGGUGGUGGGGAUUUUAUGGCUGUAAUAUCUUUCCCACAACUGCUAAAUCAAUACGGAGCCAGUACCACCCGCAAGCUGAUGGUAUACUUACAGUGCACUACCAGUGUCUGGCCAGCAGAGGAG